rnacentral:rRNA from 1 species
GAACGCUAGCUACAGGCUUAACACAUGCAAGUCGAGGGGCAUCAGGAAGAAAGCUUGCUUUCUUUGCUGGCGACCGGCGCACGGGUGAGUAACACGCAUCCAACCUGCCCUUUACUCGGGGAUAGCCUUUCGAAAGAAAGAUUAAUACCCGAUGGCAUAAUGAUUCCGCAUGGUUUCAUUAUUAAAGGAUUCCGGUAAAGGAUGGGGAUGCGUUCCAUUAGGUUGUUGGUGAGGUAACGGCUCACCAAGCCUUCGAUGGAUAGGGGUUCUGAGAGGAAGGUCCCCCACAUUGGAACUGAGACACGGUCCAAACUCCUACGGGAGGCAGCAGUGAGGAAUAUUGGUCAAUGGGCGCUAGCCUGAACCAGCCAAGUAGCGUGAAGGAUGAAGGCUCUAUGGGUCGUAAACUUCUUUUAUAUAAGAAUAAAGUGCAGUAUGUAUACUGUUUUGUAUGUAUUAUAUGAAUAAGGAUCGGCUAACCCCGUGCCAGCAGCCGCGGUAAUACGGAGGAUCCGAGCGUUAUCCGGAUUUAUUGGGUUUAAAGGGAGCGUAGGUGGACUGGUAAGUCAGUUGUGAAAGUUUGCGGCUCAACCGUAAAAUUGCAGUUGAUACUGUCAGUCUUGAGUACAGUAGAGGUGGGCGGAAUUCGUGGUGUAGCGGUGAAAUGCUUAGAUAUCACGAAGAACUCCGAUUGCGAAGGCAGCUCACUGGACUGCAACUGACACUGAUGCUCGAAAGUGUGGGUAUCAAACAGGAUUAGAUACCCUGGUAGUCCACACAGUAAACGAUGAAUACUCGCUGUUUGCGAUAUACAGUAAGCGGCCAAGCGAAAGCAUUAAGUAUUCCACCUGGGGAGUACGCCGGCAACGGUGAAACUCAAAGGAAUUGACGGGGGCCCGCACAAGCGGAGGAACAUGUGGUUUAAUUCGAUGAUACGCGAGGAACCUUACCCGGGCUUAAAUUGCAGUGGAAUGAUGUGGAAACAUGUCAGUGAGCAAUCACCGCUGUGAAGGUGCUGCAUGGUUGUCGUCAGCUCGUGCCGUGAGGUGUCGGCUUAAGUGCCAUAACGAGCGCAACCCUUAUCUUUAGUUACUAACAGGUUAUGCUGAGGACUCUAGAGAGACUGCCGUCGUAAGAUGUGAGGAAGGUGGGGAUGACGUCAAAUCAGCACGGCCCUUACGUCCGGGGCUACACACGUGUUACAAUGGGGGGUACAGAAGGCAGCUAGCGGGUGACCGUAUGCUAAUCCCAAAAGCCUCUCUCAGCUCGGAUCGAAGUCUGCAACCCGACUUCGUGAAGCUGGAUUCGCUAGUAAUCGCGCAUCAGCCACGGCGCGGUGAAUACGUUCCCGGGCCUUGUACACACCGCCCGUCAAGCCAUGGGAGCCGGGGGUACCUGAAGUACGUAACCGCAAGGAUCGUCCUAGGGUAAAACUGGUGACUGGGGCUA